rnacentral:rRNA from 1 species
UAGUCAUAUGCUUGUCUAAAAGAUUAAGCCAUGCAUGUCUAAGUAUAAACGAAUUUAUACAGUGAAACUGCGAAAGGCUCAUUAAAUCAGUUAUAGUUUAUUUGAUAGUACCUACUACUUGGAUAACCGUAGUAAUUCUAGAGCUAAUACAUGCUAAAGGUCCCGACUUUGCGGAAGGGAUGUAUUUAUUAGAUAAAAAACCAAUGCACGGGUAAAACCGUGGUACUGGAUGAUUCAUGAUAACUUUGCGAACCGCAUGUCCUUGCGACGGCGGUGAU